AUUGAACGCUGGCAGCAGGCCUAACACAUGCAAGUCGAACGGAGUGGCGGACGGGUGAGUAAUGUCUGGGAAACUGCCUGAUGGAGGGGGAUAACUACUGGAAACGGUAGCUAAUACCGCAUACUAUCAGAUGAGCCUAGGUCGGAUUAGCUAGUUGGUGGGGUAAAGGCCUACCUAGGCGACGAUCCGUAACUGGUCUGAGAGGAUGAUCAGUCACACGGGAACUGAGACACGGUCCAGACUCCUACGGGAGGCAGCAGUGGGGAAUAUUGUACAAUGGGCGAAAGCCUGAUCCAGCCAUGCCGCGUGUGUGAAGAAGGUCUUCGGAUUGUAAAGUACUUUAAGUUGGGAGGCGUUACCAACAGAAUAAGCACCGGCUAACUCCGUGCCAGCAGCCGCGGUAAUUC
rnacentral:rRNA from 1 species